rnacentral:rRNA from 1 species
AUUCGAUUGUGCCAGCAGCCGCGGUAAUACGUAGGGUGCGAGCGUUAAUCGGAAUUACUGGGCGUAAAGCGUGCGCAGGCGGUUUUGUAAGACAGGCGUGAAAUCCCCGGGCUCAACCUGGGAAUUGCGCUUGUGACUGCAAAGCUGGAGUGCGGCAGAGGGGGAUGGAAUUCCGCGUGUAGCGGUGAAAUGCUUAGAUACCAUCCAGAACACCAAUUGCGAAGGCAGCAGACUAGGGUGCAACUGACGCUGAGGCACGAAAGUGCGGGGAUCAAACAGGAUUAGAUACCCUGGUAGUCCACGCCGUAAACGAUGAAUGCCAGACGUCGGGCAGCAUGCUGUUCGGUGUCACACCUAACGGAUUAAGCAUUCCGCCUGGGGAGUACGGCCGC